CACUUCCAGCAUGAUAAUUAUUGGAGGCACUGCCUGCCCAGUGACAUCCGUUAAACGGCCGCGGUAUCCUGACCGUGCAAAGGUAGCAUAAUCAUUUGUUCUCUAAAUAAGGACUUGUAUGAAUGGCCACACGAGGGUUUUACUGUCUCUUACUUCCAAUCAGUGAAAUUGACCUUCCCGUGAAGAGGCGGGAAUUCAUAAAUAAGACGAGAAGACCCUAUGGAGCUUUAAUUAACUAAUCCACAAAACAAUAUCCACACCUCUAAGGAAAAUAAACCAACUUUUGCUGGAUUAACAAUUUGGGUUGGGGUGACCUCGGAAAAUAAAACAACUUCCGAGUGAUAAUAACCUAGACUGACAAGUCAAAGUUUACAAUCAUUCAGUGAUCCAAAAUUCUUUUGAUCAACGGAACAAGUUACCCUAGGGAUAACAGCGCAAUCCUAUUUGAGAGUCCAUAUCGAUAAUAGGGUUUACGACCUCGAUGUUGGAUCAGGACAUCCCAAUGGUGCAGCCGCUAUUAAUGGUUCGUUUGUUCAACGAUUAAAGUCCU
rnacentral:rRNA from 1 species